UAGCGGGGGGGGCGAAGCUUGUUCGGAAUUACUGGGCGUAAAGGCUCGUAGGCGGCCAACUAAGUCAGACGUGAAAUCCCUCGGCUUAACCGGGGAACUGCGUCUGAUACUGGAUGGCUUGAGUUUGGGAGAGGGAUGCGGAAUUCCAGGUGUAGCGGUGAAAUGCGUAGAUAUCUGGAGGAACACCGGUGGCGAAGGCGGAUCUCUGGGCCUGUCCUGACGCUGAGGCGCGAAGGCCAGGGGAGCAAACGGG
rnacentral:rRNA from 1 species